AUUGAACGCUGGCGGCAUGCCUUACACAUGCAAGUCGAACGGUAACAGGUCUUCGGAUGCUGACGAGUGGCGAACGGGUGAGUAAUACAUCGGAACGUGCCCGAUCGUGGGGGAUAACGGAGCGAAAGCUUUGCUAAUACCGCAUACGAUCUACGGAUGAAAGCAGGGGACCGCAAGGCCUUGCGCGGACGGAGCGGCCGAUGGCAGAUUAGGUAGUUGGUGGGAUAAAAGCUUACCAAGCCGACGAUCUGUAGCUGGUCUGAGAGGACGACCAGCCACACUGGGACUGAGACACGGCCCAGACUCCUACGGGAGGCAGCAGUGGGGAAUUUUGGACAAUGGGCGAAAGCCUGAUCCAGCCAUGCCGCGUGCAGGAUGAAGGCCUUCGGGUUGUAAACUGCUUUUGUACGGAACGAAAAGCCUCUUUCUAAUAAAGAGAGGUCAUGACGGUACCGUAAGAAUAAGCACCGGCUAACUACGUGCCAGCCGCCGCAGUAAGAC
rnacentral:rRNA from 1 species